rnacentral:rRNA from 1 species
UACGUAGGGGGCAAGCGUUGUCCGGAAUCAUUGGGCGUAAAGCGCGUGUAGGCGGCCAGGUAAGUCCGUUCUGAAAGCCCGGGGCUCAACCCCGGGAGGCGGAUGGAUACUGCUUGGCUAGAGUCCGGAAGAGGAGAGUGGAAUUCCUGGUGUAGCGGUGAAAUGCGCAGAUAUCAGGAAGAACACCGAUGGCGAAGGCAGCUCUCUGGGACGGUACUGACGCUGAGACGCGAAAGCGUGGGGAGCGAACAGG